rnacentral:misc_RNA from 1 species
AAAAAAAUGCCAUCAGUUAUUUAACCUAUAAAGAGAACCCAUACCCAAAUUUGAAACCCAAUAACAAAAUUUCUUUUUUCCUUUUUGAACUCACAAAAAGCUAUUUACAUUUUAUAAAAUUUCAUCAAAGCCCCAAUAACAUUUUUUAUAUUAAGAUUUUGUAAUGUUUCUCAGGUUAUGUUUAAAACUAUAUUUUGUAAGCCCCAAUAGCCCACACUUCUUGUGGCUUACAUAGUUCUGACAGAUGAAACCAGAUAUUGGAUUAAUCAGAAGCUAGAGUCAAGGAGGUAAACCCCAGAACGUAGAUGGAAGUUUACAAAAUAAACAUUGAGAAUUCCUAUGUCUAGUACAAUGGAAUGAAAAGAAUGAGGAGCUCUAAAAAUGGCUGACAUGGAGAUGGUGUAAUAAAUGUCUUAGGUAAUUCUAAAAUACCUAUUCAAUGGAAGUUAUGUACACUGCAACUCAACAAGCAAUGAUGCAUAGCAAGGUUUUAGAUUGCAGUUGCAAUCUGACUGUUUCAGGGUGUCAUGGUCAAAAUGUAACAGUUGCA